UAUGAAGAACGCAGCGAAAUGCGAUAAGUAAUGUGAAUUGCAGAAUUCCGUGAAUCAUCGAAUCUUUGAACGCACAUUGCGCCCCCUGGCAUUCCGGGGGGCAUGCCUGUCCGAGCGUCAUUUCUGCCCUCAAGCACGGCUUGUGUGUUGGGUGUGGUCCCCCCGGGGACCUGCCCGAAAGGCAGCGGCGACGUCCGUCUGGUCCUCGAGCGUAUGGGGCUCUGUCACUCGCUCGGGAAGGACCUGCGGGGGUUGGUCACCACUAUAUUUUACCACGGUUGACCUCGGAUCAGGUAGGAGUUACCCGCUGAACUUAAGCAUAUCAAUAAGCGGAGGA
rnacentral:misc_RNA from 1 species